GAUGAACGCUGGCGGCGUGCUUAACACAUGCAAGUCGAACGAGGAAUAAUUGAUGAGAUCUUCGGAUGGAUUUAGUUAUUCCGAGUGGCGGACGGGUGAGGUAACGCGUGGGUAACCUGCCCCAUACAGGGGGACAACAGAGGGAAACUUCUGCUAAUACCGCAUAAGCGCUUUUUAUGGCAUCGUAAGAAGCGGAAAGCUCCGGCGGUAUGGGAUGGGCCCGCGUUGGAUUAGGCAGUUGGCGGGGUAACGGCCCACCAAACCGACGAUCCAUAGCCGACCUGAGAGGGUGACCGGCCACAUUGGGACUGAGACACGGCCCAGACUCC
rnacentral:rRNA from 1 species